UACGUAGGGGGCAAGCGUUGUCCGGAUUCAUUGGGCGUAAAGAGCUCGUAGGCGGUUCAGUAAGUCGGGUGUGAAAUCUCCGUGCUCAACACGGAGCGGCCACCUGAUACUGCUGUGACUCGAGUCCGGUAGGGGAGUGUGGAAUUCCCGGUGUAGCGGUGAAAUGCGUAGAUAUGCGGAGGAACACCGAUGGCGAAGGCAAUCUCCUGGGCCUGCACUGACGCUCAUGCACGAAAGCGUGGGGAGCAAACAGG
rnacentral:rRNA from 1 species